rnacentral:lncRNA from 1 species
UAUGUGGACGGAACGCCCAUUAGAGAAUACAAGAAUAGCGAAUCAAUGGGAGUUUCAUAUCCGAAGAACCAAGCAAUGAGGAUUUACUCGAGUCUUUGGAAUGCAGAUGAUUGGGCUACAAGAGGAGGACUUGUCAAGACUGAUUGGAGCCAAGCACCCUUUAGUGCUUCUUACAGAACUUCAAAUCUAACACAUUCUUUUGGGAUAAACCUUGAUUUGGGGUUCUCUUAUUUUUUGAUUGAACAGAUUCUAUGUGGACGGAAUGCCCAUUAGAGAAUACAAGAAUAGUGAAUCAAUGGGAGUUUCAUAUCCGAAGAACCAACCAAUGAGGAUAUAUUCAAGUCUUUGGAAUGCAGAUGAUUGGGCUACAAGAGGAGGACUUGUCAAGACUGAUUGGAGCCAAGCACCCUUUAGUGCUUCUUACAGAAACUUCAGUUCUAAUGCUUGUAUUCCCAGUUCUUCAUCUUCUUGCAGUUCCAAUACUACAACUUCAACAAGCAAUUCAUGGUUGAAUGAAGAGUUAGAUAACACAAGCCAAGAGAGGCUCAAAUGGGUGCAGAAGAAUUACAUGGUUUAUAAUUACUGCACUGAUUCUAAACGAUUUUCACAAGGAUUUCCAGCAGAUUGUCUUCAGAAUAGCUGAGCAUUUACAGUGAAAUUUUUUGUAUUCUUUUACUUUUGAUCUAUAAAACUAUUAUAUUGAUUCUUUUAUUGUUCUGCACCAACCAGUAGCAGAGGAUUACAAACAUCUUAAUUUUUAGUUUUGUUACUGAGGGAUCGUUUGGUGAAAUUACACUGUGUGUUUGCCCCAAGUUUUCUUAGGAAUAUUUGACUAUUUCAAAAAAUAUAAUUUAUUUCCAUAGUUCUAAAAACUAUUAAAAAUAUCCAUAAAUUUAUAUUAUCUAUUUAUAGUGAAUAUGCUCAAUUAAAAAAUAACCUUAUAACAUAAUUGAUAACAAUCAACAACAACAAAAUAACAAUAUAUGCAAGAGCAAUACAUUAAUCACAUAUUCAAACUUGUCAUUGAUUCGGUUAUAAUUAUAAUCCAUUAGAAACAAUUUGUUCUUUUUUCUCAAUUUUGUCACUGAAAUUAGAAUUCGGAUUCUUCCGGAGGAGGUGGUAACAAACUGUUCCUUAAUAUAAUUUUCCCACAUUCUACGGACAAUCUCUUCCCUACAAGCAUUCAUUGUUAGAUUAGAAGACAGAGAAGACAAAACAAUAUUGUUACUCUGAGUCGAUUGUUCGUCAUCUUCAUCAGUAACCAUAUCAUCACGUUUAUGUUCAUUGAAUAUUUCAUCACUGUUUUGAUUUUCACGCAAAAGAAUUAUGUAAUAUGGCACAAUCAACUACUACUUUCACUUGCAUGCCUAAAUCAUAGUUGUUCAUGUCUUGUUGUAGUAUUCUGAAUCUACUUUUCCACGCACCAAAUGUUCUUUCAAUUACAUUACGCAAAGAGACAUGUCUAUAGUUAAAUAACUCAUUGUCAUGCUUAGGCUCUCUUUCACUUUUCUUGUAGUCCUGCAAAUAAUAUCACAUUCCUUUGUUACUUAAUAGAUAGAGAUGUUUAAUAUGAUUGGUGAGCAUGUUGUUUAAUAGAUAGAGGAGUAAUCUUGUUAUUUAUUGGUAGUAAUAGAUAGAUAUGGUAGAUACAAAAUAAUGGAUUUUUUUUAUAAAAUAUAGAAGUUUGGGGGUGAUUUUUGAAUUUUUUAAAAUUCUCAAGUACUAUAACUUGACCCAAAAACUAGUUUUUUUUAGUAUUUGGAAACUUGAAAUUCUUGACAAAUAUAUUUGCCAAGUUAUGUAGCAAAACACCGCUGGCCAAGUGUUUUCCAAAUUUUUUCCAAGUUUUCCCAAGUUUUAUUUGGGGCCAAACAGGUCCUAUAUCUCUUGUUAUAUUUUCGGUCUAAAUAUACCACCUUCUAUUAUACUUUUGGUCCAAAUAUUUCAUUAUACUUUGACUCAAAUUUAUUCUCGAUCUUAACAAAACAAAUAUGUUUCAAGCUGAGAAUCAAAUAACUUGCUCUGAAUUUUAAAUAAUUUGAUUUCUUUUUAAAUCCAUUAGGUGAUACCAUUUCUAGUAUUCUGGAUACCAUAAAGUGCAGGGGAACUUUUGCCUAUUUUCUAAUAUUUUUGUUGUUUGAACAUGGAUGAUCAUGGUUAGUAAAAUAUUGAUCAAUGAUCAAAAUGCAAAUGCACAAUGGAAAGUGUACACGUUAAAUAAAUGAAAUUGAAAGGGCCAAUCGAGGAGCAAAAAAUUACCCGAAUGUAUUAGGAGUACAGCCGGAUUAGAUGCAUAUCUUGAAUUGAAAUUUGUAAAAUGUUAGCUGUUUGGUCCACAGAUAAUAUUGCCACGGGAUGUAACCUCUUGCUACUCAAAUACCUUAAGGCGGUACUGUAGGUACACUUGAAUAAACAAAGGGAACAAUACACAAGUUUAACUAGUUCCAAUAAUAACGAGAGUUAUGGUGGAAUGGUAAAUAUUUCUUCAUUAAAUUUCAAAUUAGAGUCUCACCUUUGUUAUAGAUCCUUUAUCCUCCAAUGUGGGUUUUUUCAAUGCAAAUUCAAAUUUAGUGAGGCUUUGAUAUAAAUACCGAACACCAAAUUAUAAAAAAAAACAAAAAAAACUAGUUCCAAUGAGAAUGAUAGUGCGAGUCUUGGAAAGACUGACCAUAUAUGGGCUGUCACUUAGCUUUGAUGCCAUCAUUUUUUAUCCUGUUUCCAGCUCAAUCUUUUUUUUCUUGCUUUCUGUAUUACUUUGAACCUUCCUCUUUAUUUCCUCAAGCCUAUCCCCACACGCUCUACCUACUUAUUUGUUGGUGAGGUGGGGGUGGUAUAAACCCUUAUAAAACCCCAUCUAGCUUUCCAACUCCAAUUCAUCCAACAAACUUUGAAAUCUUAAGAAUUAAACAUGGCUUCUUCUUCUAAGUUAGUACUUGUAAUGUGUUUUAUGGUUAGUGCUUUUGGCAUUGCAAUUGGAAACACGUUAGAUCAAGAAUUUGAGAUAACAUGGGGUGAUGGCAGAGCAAAGAUACUCAACAAUGGCGACCUCCUUACUCUCUCACUUGACAAAAUCUCUGGCUCUGGUUUUCAAUCGAAGAAUGAAUAUCUCUUUGGUAAAAUUGACAUGCAGCUCAAACUAGUCACUGGAAAUUCUGCUGGCACUGUCACUGCUUAUUAUGUAAUUCCCUUAAUUUCUUUUCUUAUAUGAUUUUUGAGCUACGUGUUUAUUGAAUUGAAAUGAAAUUGAACCUUUUUAUUUUUUGAAAUUUAUUGCAGUUGUCAUCACAAGGACCAACACAUGAUGAGAUAGAUUUUGAAUUCUUGGGAAAUUUAAGUGGUGAUCCUUAUACUCUCCACACUAACGUAUUUAGCCAAGGCAAAGGAAACAGAGAUCAGCAAUUCCAUCUCUGGUUUGACCCUACUGCUGAUUUCCACACCUAUUCCAUCACUUGGAAUCCACAACGCAUCAUGUAAGUAGUUAAACAUUCAAUCUUACUUCAAAUCUAACACAUUCUUUUGGGAUAAACCUUGAUUUGGGGUUCUCUUAUUUUUUGAUUGAACAGAUUCUAUGUGGACGGAAUGCCCAUUAGAGAAUACAAGAAUAGUGAAUCAAUGGGAGUUUCAUAUCCGAAGAACCAACCAAUGAGGAUAUAUUCAAGUCUUUGGAAUGCAGAUGAUUGGGCUACAAGAGGAGGACUUGUCAAGACUGAUUGGAGCCAAGCACCCUUUAGUGCUUCUUAUAGAAACUUCAAUGCGAAUGCUUGUAUUCCCAAUUCCCCGUCUUCUUGCAAUUCCAAUACUACAACUUCAACUAACAGUUCAUGGUUGAAUGAAGAGUUAGAUAACACAAGCCAAGAGAGGCUCAAAUGGGUGCAGAAGAAUUACAUGGUUUAUAAUUACUGCACUGAUUCUAAGCGAUUUCCUCAAGGAUUUCCAGCAGACUGUCUUCAGAAUAGCUGAGUAUUUACAGUGAA